rnacentral:rRNA from 1 species
CGCGUAGGCGGACUUUCAAGUCGGUUGUGAAAUCUCCAGGCUUAACUUGGAGCUUGCAUCCGAUACUGUUGGUCUUGAGUAUAUCAGAGGAAAGCGGAAUUCCAGGUGUAGCGGUGAAAUGCGUAGAUAUCUGGAAGAACACCAGUAGCGAAGGCGGCUUUCUGGGGUAUAACUGACGCUGAAGCGCGAAGGCUAGGGGAGCAAACA